UACGGGGGGGGCAAGCGUUGUUCGGAAUUACUGGGCGUAAAGGGCUCGUAGGCGGCCAACUAAGUCAGACGUGAAAUCCCUCGGCUUAACCGGGGAACUGCGUCUGAUACUGGAUGGCUUGAGUUCGGGAGAGGGAUGCGGAAUUCCAGGUGUAGCGGUGAAAUGCGUAGAUAUCGGGAGGAACACCUGUGGCGAAAGCGGCGCACUGGACCACAUCUGACGCUGAGGCGCGAAAGCUAGGGGAGCAAACAGG
rnacentral:rRNA from 1 species